rnacentral:rRNA from 1 species
CGGACGGGUUAGUAACGCGUGGGAAUAUACCCGACACUAAGGAAUAGCCUCUGGAAACGGAGAGUAAUACCUUAUACGCCCUUCGGGGGAAAGAUUUAUCGGUGACGGAUUAGCCCGCGUUAGAUUAGAUAGUUGGUGGGGUAAUGGCCUACCAAGUCUACGAUCUAUAGCUGGUUUUAGAGGAUGAUCAGCAACACUGGGACUGAGACACGGCCCAGACUCCUACGGGAGGCAGCAGUGGGGAAUCUUGGACAAUGGGCGCAAGCCUGAUCCAGCCAUGCCGCGUGAGUGAUGAAGGCCUUAGGGUCGUAAAGCUCUUUCGCCAGAGAUGAUAAUGACAGUAUCUGGUAAAGAAACCCCGGCUAACUCCGUGCCAGCAGCCGCGGUAAUACGGAGGGGGUUAGCGUUGUUCGGAAUUACUGGGCGUAAAGCGCGCGUAGGCGGGCUAGUAAGUUAGAGGUGAAAUCCCAGGGCUCAACCCUGGAACUGCCUUUAAUACUGCUAGUCUUGAGUUCGAGAGAGGUGAGUGGAAUUCCGAGUGUAGAGGUGAAAUUCGUAGAUAUUCGGAGGAACACCAGUGGCGAAGGCGGCUCACUGGCUC